rnacentral:rRNA from 1 species
UACGUAGGGUGCAAGCGUUAAUCGGAAUUACUGGGCGUAAAGCGUGCGCAGGCGGUUUUGUAAGACUGUCGUGAAAUCCCCAGGCUUAACCUGGGAAUUGCGAUGGUGACUGCAAGGCUAGAGUUUGGCAGAGGGGGGUAGAAUUCCACGUGUAGCAGUGAAAUGCGUAGAGAUGUGGAGGAACACCGAUGGCGAAGGCAGCCCCCUGGGUCAAAACUGACGCUCAUGCACGAAAGCGUGGGGAGCAAACAGG